AUGUCCCCUCUGCCACCACGCGCCAGUCCCCGGGUCCCCUCCUCUGUCGUCUCCCCCCAUAUUCCCUUCCAAUCGCACCUCUUUGGGCUCCACGGUCACUGGGGACACCUUGGGGACACCUUGGGGACGCUCUGGUGGCGAAGGAGCCCCGGGACCAGCGGCGGUUCAAGCUCAGAAACUGUUGCGGAACGGUGCCAAGAAAAGGCGGAGCCGCCUCAUGAGGGGCGGGAAAGGGGCCGGGCACCUGCCCUUUCCCGUACCGCCCUUAUGCAUAAAAGCUCCAGGAUCUGGGCGCUUUGGCUCAAUCCCAGGGAAAUUAGGAUCCGUCCCCAGGGGAUUUAGGCUCAGUCCCGGCAUUUCCAGGCGGAUUCCGCCCUUCUCGGCGGGAUGUAUGAGGGAACGCGGAGCGCUCCGAGGAGCGGGCGGAACUGCCCUCA
rnacentral:lncRNA from 1 species